GUGCUCACUUCGGCAGCACAUAUAUUAAAAUUGGAAUGACACAGAGAAGAUUAGCAUGCCCCCUACACAAGAAUGACAGGCAAAUUCGUGAAAUGGUCCAGAUCUUU